AAAUUUUUGCGUAGCGAUCAUAUCCUCAGUGCCUAUCUUUUGAAUGAAAACUUGAGGCAUUGUUUUUAUGAUCCUUAGUAACUUAAAUUAGCCCCGCUCAACUGAGAUUCAGGAAUGUAUUUCAGGGAUCCUGUAACUGCCUGAAAUUAUGUGUAAAUUGGUGUUUAUGUGUCUGUCUCUGGAGGGGAAAGAGUCCAUAGGUUUCGUAAGAUUCACAAACAUUUGUAAAUCUCUGGUGUAUACCUUUGGGAUGGUGAUAACUCAUAUCUGUGUUAAAUGAUUAUAGCUUUUUCUUUUAAGAAGUUAUGUUGCUAUCUAAUUAUAGGAUAUUUAAUUUCCCAAAAGGUCUUUUGUGAAAGUAAAAGCUUACCUGCAGAGACACCCUCAUAUAUUGUACAUUCAGUGAUGUCUACCCUUAAUAAUUCUAUCUUGUAAAAAACUUUCCAAGGAUAAAAGCAAGACAUUAUGGAACACUUCCUGAUUCUAUAUUCUCAACAUAACGUUUCUUCUUCACUUUGAAGUAAAAUAAAGUUCUACCUUUACUUUUUUUUUCAACAACUGGUUUUAUUUUUUUUUUACAUUUAAAGAAUUCAAAUGGUACAAAAGAGUUUACAUUGAAAAGUGAAACUCCCUCAAGCUCAAGACCUCCAGUUCUCCAAGCCCAGCAUCCUUCUAAAGAUAUCCCGUGUUUAUACAAGUAGACGCUUGUGUACCUGUAUAUUCCUCCCUUUUGGAUUUUAGAUUGAAGAGGAUUCUUCUGCCUUUUCAUAGUCCUGGAGCGAUGGGAGUCAUCGUAUGCGAGUGGUGUGGGUUUGGGUGUCAGCUUGGAGGACAAAGUCUCUCCUGCUUCCUGGUCCAGUCACAGUGCCUGUGUCUGCUGUCUGUGCCGCCAAGCCAAGAUGCGAUGGAAAACCCGGCAGCUGAAGCCCUCACGGACCGCAUUGUCCACGUGGUCCUGCAGGACCUCCAAGCUGGGGAAAACCCGGCAGCAGCCCAGGCACCUGAAGCCGCUGUCCAGGGCCACCAGCCA